AGAGUUUGAUCAUAGCUCAGGAUGAACGCUAGCUACAGGCUUAACACAUGCAAGUCGAGGGGAAACGACAUCGAAAGCUUGCUUUUGAUGGGCGUCGACCGGCGCACGGGUGAGUAACGCGUAUCCAACCUGCCCAUCACUUGGGGAUAACCUUGCGAAAGUAAGACUAAUACCCAAUGACGUCUCUAGAAGACAUCUGAAAGAGAUUAAAGAUUUAUCGGUGAUGGAUGGGGAUGCGUCUGAUUAGCUUGUUGGCGGGGUAACGCCACAGGCGACGAUCAGUAGGGGUUCUGAGAGGAGGUCCCCCANAUUGGAACUGAGACACGGUCCAAACUCCGUACGGGAGGCA
rnacentral:rRNA from 1 species